ensembl:lncRNA
UCCAGCUUGUACAUCUGGAAGUUCUCGGUUCCUGUACUGUUGAAGCCUAGCUUGAAGGAUUUUGAGCAUUAUCUUGCUAGCAUGUGAAAUCAGUGCAGUUGUGUGGUAGUUUUACCCAUCUGUAUGCAGAGUUCCAAAGAAUUAUAAGAAGAGAUAAGAAAGCCUUCUUAAGUGAACAAUGGAAAGAACUAGAGGAAAACAACAGAAUGGGAAAGACUAGAGAUCUCUUCAAGAAAAUUAGAGAUACCAACGGAACAUUUCAUGCAAAGAUGGGCACAAUAAAGGACAGAAAUGGUAUGGACCUAACAGAGGCAAAAGGUAUUAAGAAGAGGUGGCAGGAAUACACAGGAGAGCUGCCCAAUAAAGGUCUUAAUGAUCCAGAUAACCAUGAUGGUGUGAUUAUUCACCUAGAGCCAGACAUCCUGGAGUGUGAAGUCAAGUGGGCCUUAGGAAGCAUUACUACAAACAAAGCUAGUGGAGGUGAUGGAAUUCCAGCUGAGCGAUUUCAAAUCCUAAAAGAUGAUGCUGUUAGAGUGCUGCACUCAAUAUGUCAGCAAAUUUGGAAAGCUUAGCAGCGGCCACAGGACUGGAAAAGGCCAGCAAGCGCCUCUGCUCCUUGGAAGAGUUCAGAGAUCCAAGCGGAAGGAGACCCUCUCCCAACACUGACCACCGAAGUGGUGGAGAUGGAGCAGGAUGACCUGCAUGCCAACCCUAACGCUUUGCCUUAAAAGACACACAUCACAUCUGGUUAUGUUUCAUCAGCCAAAACAAGGCAUAAGGCACACCUACCUUCCAGAUGCCCAAAAGGCAGAACAAACUUGAAUGUCUGUGCAAAGCCUUGACGAUCCCUGUGGUCACCAAUCCAACACUCUGGAAAGUCGGAAAGGCUCUGAGAGGCCGUCUCCUCCAGAUUUCCUCCUGAGGGAGACAGCUUUCCUGCAGUUCGUGGAUUGCCCCCUGGUGCUCAGCCUCAGAGACUGCAGCGUCUCUGGAGAGGUGGACUCACAGCUGCUCUCACAGAGCCCAUCAUGCUCCGGGGGAGCCCUUGUCCAGCAAAAGCAGCUUAGAGCCAGAGCGUCUGGAGCUUGGUUUUGUUCUCUGGCCAUGUUACCCUGCCUAUGCAGCUCACCAUGCUAAGUCUGUGUUUCUCCUUCUGUAAAAUAGGAGUACUAUUUUAUUUAAAUUUGAAUUGAUGAUUCAAUGAGAUAAGUUCUAUGAAGCCCCUCUAUGGUUGUCACAUAACCAAAGACAAAGGCUUGCUCCCUCCCUCUUGUUCCUGCUGUGGGAUUGGAUAUAUUAAAACUUCUCUGCUCAUUGUAGAUAGUUAAAAAAAAAAAAUUAACUUGACUCUAAGCACAAUUAAAA